CAGACCAAAGCCGGGAAGAGACAAAGCUGGCGGCCAGUGGGUCUUGCAAGGCCAGGAAAGGUUGGAGAGGCUUUCUCUUCCUCAUAUCGAAGCAAAACAGUGCCAAACUGGCAGCUUCGGGAGUUACAAUCCUGUAGACCAGAUCCUGGGGUUCACCGUGGCCAUUGUGAGCAUCACACUCUGAUACCAACCCAGAGAGCAGAAGCUGCCGCACACCCAAAGCUUGGACCUCACCCCUUGUUGGCUCUGAUCCGUGACAAAAGGCUCUUUCAGAUUUACAGUGGCACCCGCAGCUCCUGAGGCACAGAACCAUAACUCUCCUGUAGAAACUCCACGUCAUUCUCUUUUCCGGAAUGCGGGAUGAGUUUUCUAGGUCAUUCAUACAAGGCAAACUUUAGGACUUAAGAGAAAAACCGCAUCUCCAAUGUAUCCAACAAUAACUCUUGACUAGGUGAUCCUAUAAACCAUAACCUUCUUAGAGAAUUCACAGAAAAGUUGUACUGUCUAUAUAAAAAAUUUUUCUAGUCUGUUUUAUUAUUCAGUAUUAUCACCAAAUCCAUAUAUUCUUAAUUAUAAUUUUUAGGGAGUAUUUAUAAAUCUCUAAGAAACUUAUUAAAUAAAUGUUUUCUGUUCUUAUAUAAAGUGUAGUUCAUUAACCUAUAUUUUAAUAUCAUUUGACUAUUUAACUGUUUAGUAUUCUUUUUUAAAAAGUUACAUCUAUAAAGUCAAUUUUCCACUGAAAGGGGAAAAUUGGUGUGUUAUAAUCAUUUAAAUUUGCAUUUUGUUGGCAGAAAAUUCAAUCAGAUUCUAAAGGAAUAGUAAGGGUGCUUACAUAUUUGAUAUGUCUGGGAAGGUUCAUGAAUUAAAACAACUAAAUUUAAUAUAUUUUAAAUAUCAAAUACAACAGAAAUCUGCACUGCUAGUUAUAUUUUUAGAAGAGAUAUAAAAUGUAAAGUACAGUUAAAUAUUAAACAAAUUAAACAAUUAAAUAUUAAAAUAUUAAUUUAUAAUGUACAACUAAUAUACAUAUACAUAAAAUAUAUCUUAGCAAAAUAAGACAAAGAUAAUGGGGCAAAUUACAAAUACAAAUAUACUAGGUCUUUAAUCUGAUGUUGUAGUUUUUGUUUUCCUCAAUUUUAAACAGAAAACAAGGUUUUUGAUUUAAUGAAUUUUAGUCUGAAUUUUAAGUACUAGUUAUUGAUUUAAUUUAGCAUCUAUAUGCAGGAGUUAUUUUUCUUUAGAAUUGUCUCAUAUUUCACACAUUUCUGAAAAAUAUGAUGUAAGAUUGACAUUGGCUUUCUAUUGAUACUGUUUUUAUUAUUCGUUGUACUAAAUAUAAAUAAUUUCAUUAAAGCAAUCAAUAUAUCUACUUAUGUUUGAAGGAACCUUUAUAAUAUUUUCUUUUAAAUAAUAUUUCUGUAAAUUUUAAGUUGUGAAAAAUAAAAUAAUAAAAAAGUAUAAAAC
rnacentral:lncRNA from 1 species